AGAGUUUGAUCAUGGCUCAGGAUGAACGCUAGCGGCAGGCUUAACACAUGCAAGUCGAGGGGUAACAGGAGAGCUUGCUCUUGCUGACGACCGGCGCACGGGUGCGUAACGCGUAUACAAUCUACCUUAUACUGGGGAAUAGGCCAAAGAAAUUUGGAUUAAUGCCCCAUAGUAUUUUUCUAACACAUGUUAGAAUUCUUAAAGCUCCGGCGGUAUAAGAUGAGUAUGCGUGAUAUUAGCUAGUUGGUGAGGUAACUGCUCACCAAGGCAACGAUAUCUAGGGGGUCUGAGAGGACUAUCCCCCACACUGGUACUGAGACACGGACCAGACUCCUACGGGAGGCAGCAGUGAGGAAUAUUGGGCAAUGGAGGCAACUCUGACCCAGCCAUGCCGCGUGAAGGAAGAAGGUCUUAUGGAUUGUAAACUUCUUUUAUUUGGGAAGAAACCUUUCUACGUGUAGAAAGCUGACGGUACCAAACGAAUAAGGACCGGCUAACUCCGUGCCAGCAGCCGCGGUAAUACGGAGGGUCCAAGCGUUAUCCGGAAUCAUUGGGUUUAAAGGGUGCGCAGGCGGUUUAAUAAGUCAGUGGUGAAAUCUCGGGGCUCAACCUCGAAACUGCCAUUGAUACUGUUAGACUUGAGUUCAGUUGGAGUAGGCGGAAUGUGUAGUGUAGCGGUGAAAUGCUUAGAUAUUACACAGAACACCGAUAGCGAAGGCAGCUUACUAAACUGAUACUGACGCUGAGGCACGAAAGCGUGGGGAGCGAACAGGAUUAGAUACCCUGGUAGUCCACACCGUAAACUAUGAUUACUCGAUAUUGGCGAUAUACAGUCAGUGUCUAAGCGAAAGUGAUAA
rnacentral:rRNA from 1 species